rnacentral:rRNA from 1 species
AUGAUGGCAGUACCUUUUUUUUUAAUCUUUUGCAUGUCACAUAAUGGCGGUAACAUUUGUGAUGCAAGCUAUGGAUGUUGCAUUUUUCUUAGGGAAAAGCAAAUUUCACCUCUUUGCUGGGGAGCAAUUUUUUCCAGCUUGGUUCUUGUUGUAGGGCACUCCAGUCCUGGUGUAGCUGUUCUUGAGUUCUUCCAGACUACACUACUGUUACAGCUUGCAGUUUUGGUAACUUGUCAUCUCUUCAGAUCAACCUUUGAAAGGGAUUUCAUAUUUGUUAGUUCCGGUCACGAGGUGGGGUCAUGGGGACCAGAGUAUUUAGCCCGUGUACGGUACAUUCUGAGUCGCGUGGUCUCAGACUAG